CAAUGCUGUUUUAUUAUAUUAUUUAAAUAAAACCUAUUUUAAAAUCCUUUGUUUUUUUUGUUUAAAAAAUGUUUUAACUUUGGUUUUAAAAAAAACCCUAAAGUUUUGAGAUCCCCUCACUCUCCCAUCUGUUUUCAGCCGAAAGGCUAAUGCCCACUUCAAUCACCACCGAGACCGACUGCAACGAUCAGAGUAAGGCCCUCUAGCGGCGCAAGCACGGACAUGAAGACAUGGGAGCGAAACACACGGACGUGGGGUGGGCAAUGCAUGAAUCGGGGGUCGUGCGAUGUGCCGACGUGCGUGGUGGAGGAAUGCCGAACGUGGGGCUGUAACGCAAGCAAAGGGAAACCUAGGGUUUCCAAAGAACUCCAACCACUUGGGCUUAUCAGGCCUAAUUUAAUUUGGGUCCAUAUUUGGGUUUGUUUUGGGCCAAAAUUGUAUUUCGGGCUAGCACUUCAAAAUUUGUAUUUAAUUCAUAUGGCCCGGGCUAAAAAUUGGGUCUACACAUAUUUCUCUUGCAAAUGCUGCUGAAGAUGCUACGACCUUCCUAGUUUCGUUACCGUUAAAUGGUCUCCUCCCGAUAAGGGCUAGUUUAAGCUUAACUGCGAUGGCUCGUCCAUUGGUAAUUCGAGGUCUGCUGGGGUGGGGGCGCUUAUACUCGACUCCGAGGGUAAAUGGGUUGUUGGAUGUCAUCGUUUCAUUGGCUUCACCACUAACAUAAUUGCUGAACUUUGGGCUUUACGUGAUGGUUUACGUCUUGCUCAUCAAUUGCAUAUUGAUUAUCUAGUUUUGGAAGUCGAUGCUCUUUCUGUUAUUAGUCAUCUUCAUAGUGCUGAUUGUCGAAAUUUGUCUUUACGUUCUUUGGUUACCAAUUGCAGGAUUUUAUUGGCCACCUUUCAGCAUAGUCGUCUUUAUUUCACGUCUUUCCUCUUUCGAUCGGUGUGUCGGUGCACUCGCCAAAAUGUGUAAUAACCCAAGUUUUCUUUACUGAAGCAAAUUAUCUUGUUAUACAUUUAGAUUUCCCUUUCUUUUGUGUGCAAAUUUGUCAAUGCUGAUAUUGGACACUCUAUGCGUCCUACUACUGUAUCGUCAGUUUCAUUAAUAUAAGAGGAAGGAGAAUUUCACACGUGAAA